rnacentral:lncRNA from 10 species
CUGAGAGCACAGCAGGAGGGACAAGGAUCGGGAUAUAAACCCAGGCAUUCGAGCCGGCAACAGCAACCCCCUUUGGGUCCCCUCCUUCCUAUGGGAGCUUUGUUUUCACUCUAUUUCACUCUAUUAAAUCUUGCACUGCACUCUUCUCGUCCAUGUUUGUUACGGCUCGAGCUGAGCUUUUCGCUCGCCGUCCACCACUGCUGUUUGCCACUGUCGUAGACCCGCCCCUGACUCCCAUCCCGCCACUGACUCCCAUCCCUCCAGAUCCGGCAGGGUGUCCGCUGUGCUCCUGAUCCAGCAAGACUCCGGUUGCCACUCCUGAUUUUGCUAAAGGCUUGCCAUUGUUCCUGCACGGCUAAGUGCCUGGGUUCGUCCUAAUUGAGCUGAACACUAGUCACUGGGUUCCACGGUUCUCUUCCAUGACCCACAGCUUCUAAUAGAGCUAUAACACUCACUGCAUGAUCCAAGAUUCCAUUCCUUGGAAUCCGUGAGGCCAAGAAUCCCGGGUCAGAGAACACAAAGCUUGCCACCAUCUUGGAAGCGGCCCACCACCAUCUUGGAAGCGGCUUGCCACCAUCUUGGGAACUCUGUGAGCAAGGGCCUCAGGUAACAUUUUGGUGACCACGAAGUGACCUCCAAAGCGAUGCGGAGUCUCACUGUGUUGCAAAUUCCUGACCUCAAGUGAUCUUCCUGCCUGGGCCUCAAAGUGCGGGGAUUAUACGCAGGGGCCACUGCUUUCAGCCUUUAAAUUCUGUUAAAAACAGCGUUGGUGAGGCAGCUGCAUAUGUUGGCAUGAUUGAUGAGAUCUGCUACAGUCAAGCAAGCAGCCCUGGGUGACCAGUUUACCCUUCCCUGCGAGGGUUCCAGCUGCCAGUUGCCCCCAUUCUGUGACAGCUUCUCCUUCUCCUCACCUUGUCAUCCAGCCAAGAUUGUACACUGUAGGAGUACAGGUGAGCAUCUGCCUCCAUAAUCAUUGCCAACAGCCCUCCAUUAUCAACUGCCAGGGGUGCUUCAAAGCAAUGUGGAGUUCUUUCUCUUGACACAGGGACCAAGUGUAUUUAUGCCUGAAACAAACUCUGCCUUUGCUGACUAGGGAAACUCACAUGUAAAAUGUUUUUUUUUAAUUGCAUCACAAAUCACUACAGUAUUAUAAAACAGGUCGUAGCAUCCUCCAGCCCUCACCACCAUGACCCCCAUCAGGUAUUGUACAUUAGACUAUGUAAAGACCUUUCACUUAAAAAUAGGGAUUUUCUCCCUGGUUAUUAUAUUCUCAUAUAAAAGAAAAAAUAAAAAGCUCUGUCAAACAUUUUCACUCCAGCGUCGUGUAAAUUAAAUCUACCUAUAAAGGUGAAUUAUCUUACAACAUCUGUCCUUCUGUUUGUACAGCCACACCAUGUGUGGAUCAGAAAUAAACAAGACAGAUAAUUUGUGUAUAGCAACAUUAAAGUGAAUUCUACUGUUUUGGUUUUUAACUGCAUGAUGUUAAAAUUUUUAUUGUUAAAUGAUCUAUGGUUGUAAUUUAAUAUUUACUGAGAGUCCACAGUAAUCUAGGAACUAUAUGGACUAUAAAUAAGAUGUAACUCCU